CACGUAGGAGGCGAGCGUUGUCCGGAAUCAUUGGGCGUAAAGAGCUCGUAGGCGGUUUGUCACGUCGGAUGUGAAAGCCCGGGGCUUAACCCCGGGUCUGCAUUCGAUACGGGCAGACUGGAGUGUGGUAGGGGAGAUCGGAAUUCCUGGUGUAGCGGUGAAAUGCGCAGAUAUCAGGAGGAACACCGGUGGCGAAGGCGGAUCUCUGGGCCAUUACUGACGCUGAGGAGCGAAAGCGUGGGGAGCGAACAGG
rnacentral:rRNA from 1 species